rnacentral:rRNA from 1 species
UACGUAGGGGGCAAGCGUUGUCCGGACUUACUGGGCGUAAAGGGUGCGCAGGUGGGUUGGCAAGUUCGAUGUGAAAGCCCCGGGCUUAACCCGGGAAUGGCAUUGGAUACUGCUGAUCUGGAGGAUCGGAGGGGGGGACUGGAAUUCUUGGUGUAGCAGUGAAAUGCGUAGAUAUCAAGAGGAACACCAGUGGCGAAGGCGAGUCCCUGGACGAUACCUGACACUGAGGCACGAAAGCCAAGGGAGCAAACAGG